rnacentral:lncRNA from 12 species
CAUCAUUAUUCAGUGCUGGCUUUGUGCCAGCUCUAUGAUAGUGAUGCUGAAUAAAACAGACAUUGUUCCUGUCUUUGUGGACCUUGCUCUGAAGCACACUAGUCAGAUAGUUAAGUGAAUAAUUAAAUGCAAUUGUCACUACUAAUUCCAUUUCAAAGAUGAUGAACCUAAGGCUUAGUGGAUUAAAAUGCUUUGCACAAAGCCUUUUGCCGAUCAACCAGGAGACAUCAAGGUCCCCAGCUUCCUGGGUUCCACCAUGCUGACUCUAAGCCUUCUGCUUCCAGAGAGAACGCAUGAAUGGGUACCUCAAGAGAAAAUGUCCUUUCACCAAAAACAAGGAGGGCCCAGUCUUCAUUAGUGAAAGCGAAAAAACACAGAGGAUCAACAGCCUGAGGCAUCCACACGGUUCAACUGAAAGAAGAGCCAAGCUCAAAGGUGCACAAGCAACAAGGACUGACGUCACUGCCCGAGUACUGUCCUAAGAAGCCUUCAGCUGCUAAGGGACACUCCAGAUUCAGAGCCCAGAAAGGAGGCAGAGGUCAUUGACAUGAACUUAUAGACAACGGCCCCAAGAAUCAUGACGAUGACAAUGACAUGUGUCCAGAAUCCCCAUCUCCCAGCUCAACGAUGGACAGCAGAGGACUCCGAGGUGGGUAGCCCAGGUUUCAGCACCUGUUGGCUACUUUAGGUUACCCGGUGUCUCUGAGGUCCAGCUUUCUCAUCUGUAAGUUGAAGAGAGAGAUGCCAGCCUCCUGGGGAUU